GACGAACGCUGGCGGCGUGCCUAAUACAUGCAAGUCGAGCGCUGAAGGUUGUUACUUGUACCGACUGGAUGAGCAGCGCACGGGUGAGUAACCCGUGGGGGAUCUGCCUUGGUGCGGGGGACAACAUUUGCAAACGAAUGCUAAUACCGCAUAAAAACUUUAAACACAAGUUUUAAGUUUGAAAGAUGCAAUUGCAUCACUCAAAGAUGAUCCCCCGUUGUAUUAGCUAGUUGGUGAGGUAAAGGCUCAGCAAGGCGAUGAUACAUAGCCGAACUGAGAGGGUGAUCAGCAGCAUUGGGAGGGAGACAAGGCCCCAAGUACUGAGGGAGGCAGCAGCCGGGCAUCUUCGGCAAUGGGCGGAAGGCUGACCGAGGCAAGGCGCGUGAGUGAGGAAGGGUAUCGGAUCGUAAAAGUAUGUUGGUAGAGAAGAACGAUGGUGAGAGUGGAAAGAACAUCCAGUGACGGUAACUAGCGAGAAAGCAACGGCUAACUACGUG
rnacentral:rRNA from 1 species